AAAUACAAAAAUUAGCUGGGCUUGGUGGCGUAUGCCUGUAAUCCCAGCUACUUAGGAGGCUGAGGCAGGAGAAUCACUUGAACCUGGGAGGUGGAGGUUGCAGUGAGCCGAGAUCCUGCCACUGCACUCCAGCCUGGGUGACAGAGCAAGACUCUGUCUCAAAAAAAAAAAAAAAAAAAAAAAAAAAAUUGAAAUGUAUUUCCAGGUGGAAACAACCUAAAUGUUCAUAUCAUUGGACAAUUUUUGCAUGAAUGGAUAAACAGAAUGUGGUAGGUACAUACUGUGGAACAUUAUUCAACCUUAAAAAGGAAGGAAAUUCUGAGCCAUGCUAUAACAUGGGGAAACCUUAAGGACAUUAAGUGAAAUAAGCCAGUCACAAAAUGACAAAUACCAUAUGAGAUACUUAGAGUAGUCAAAUUUAUACAUAGAAAAAGUAGGCCAGGCACAGUGGCUGAAUGCCUGUAAUCCCAGCACUUUGGGAGGCUGAGGUGGACAGAUUGCUUGAGGUCAGGAGUUCAAGGCCAGCCUGGGCAACAUGGUAAAACCCCAUCUUCACAAAAACACACAAAAAUUAGCCAGGCAUGGUGGCACAUCCCUGUGGUCCCAGUUACUGAGGCUGAGGUGGGAGGAUUGCUUGAGCCUGAGAGGCAGAGGUUGCAAUGAGCUGACAUUCUGCCACUACACUCCAGCCUGGGGGCCAGAGCGAGACCCCGUCUCAAAAAAAAAUUAAAAAAGAAAGAAAGUAGAAUGGUGGUUGCCAAGGGCCGGGCACGGUGGCUCACACCUGUAAUUCCAGCACUUCGGGAGGCCAAAGGAGGGGGGGGGGGGUGGAUCGCCUGAGGUCAGGAGUUCAAGACCAGCCUGGCCAACAUAGUGAAACCCGGUCUCUACUAAGAAAUUACAAAAAUUAGCCAGGUGUGGUGGCGAGCACCUGUAAUCCCCACUAUUCAGGAGGCUGAGGCAGGAGAAUCUCUUGAGUCUGGGAGGCAGAGAUUGCAGUGAAGCAAGACCAUGCCACUAAACUUCAGCCUGGGUGACAGAGCAAGACUCCAUCUCAAAAAAAAAAAAAAAAAAAAAGAAUGGUGGUUGCCAGGGGUUGAAAGGAAGGAAAGAAAAUGAGUUAUUGUUAAGAAAUACCAAGUUUCAGUCUGGGUAGAUGCAAAAAGUUCUAGAGACACUGGGGGGUGAUGAUUGCACAACCACAUGAAUGUACCUAGUGCCACUGAACUGUACACUUAGAAAUGGUUAAAAUGGUGGAUUUUAUGUUAUAUGUAUUUACCACAAGUUUUUAAAUGUGAUAUAAAAAAGUUCAUUUCCAAGUGAGGAUUUUUAAUAUUUCCUAAAAUAUCUGACUCUGUGGUUAAAAUGGCUUCCAAAUGACACAGAUUAGUUCUCCUGUGAUCUUAACAAUAUAUACAGAAUACCCAUAAUCUCACACACAUGAGAAUAUGGUGACAUCCAGCUGCAAAGAUUUCAAAGUUCAGAGCAACAAACCACUAGGGCUUUUUCUUGGUUUUCUGGACAAUGCACCUAAAAGGCUUUUCUGUUCUUCAAAAUCCUAAAAUGUAUGUCUUGUAGUUCUACUCACAGGGGAAGUAGAUAGGCUAAGAAGGCAAAUGCACGGCAAAUCAUUCUCCAUGACAAAUCACAAUGAACACUCUGCUUUGCUUUGCUGCUGCAGCCAAUGACCCCGGAAGCAGUGUUGUUCACCAUUGCACCUCCCAGGGCUCCUCCACCUGGUUCCUCCCUCACCCUGUCUGUGGCUCUCCUGCCUAGACAUGUCCUGUCCACUGAACUGAAUUGGAGGAAGGAAAUGUUUGUCAUUAGGAACCAAUUACUCAAAGAUACAAAGUAUAUAUGUACAUACAUUUUCCUUUUUUUUUUUCAUUUUUCUAACUUUUAUUUUAAGUUCAGGGGUACAUGUGCAGGUUUGUUACAUAGGUAAUAAAUUUGUAUCAUGGGGGUUCAUUGUGCAGAUGAUUUUGUCACCCAGGUAUUAAGGCCAGUACCCAUUAGUUAUUUUUCCUGAUCUUCUCCCUCCUCCCACCCUCCUCCCUCCUAUAGGCUCCAGUGUGUGUCAUUUCUAUUUUCAUUUUCAAAGAGAGAUCUCUCUGAAGGCCUCACAUUACCUGUUCCAGAUAACUUUUGACAACAACAGCUUCAAAUAAGUCACUUUCACAGCUGAGACUGAAAUAUGGAGUCCAGACAUAGCCUUUCUUCGUGAGCGCCUGCAUCACCCCAUGUUCAUGCUGCCAGCAUUCACAGGACACCUACUCCGCCCAAAGCAUCAUGCACUGUGUCAACAGUCGAGGAAUUUUAACCCCA
rnacentral:lncRNA from 1 species